ACGAACGCUGGCGGCGUGCUUAACACAUGCAAGUCGAACGGAAAGGCCCUGCUUUUGUGGGGUGCUCGAGUGGCGAACGGGUGAGUAACACGUGAGUAACCUGCCCUUGACUUUGGGAUAACUUCAGGAAACUGGGGCUAAUACCGGAUAGGAGCUCCUGCUGCAUGGUGGGGGUUGGAAAGUUUCGGCGGUUGGGGAUGGACUCGCGGCUUAUCAGCUUGGUGGUGGGGUAGUGGCUUACCAAGGCUUUGACGGGUAGCCGGCCUGAGAGGGUGACCGGCCACAUUGGGACUGAGAUACGGCCCAGACUCCUACGGGAGGCAGCAGUGGGGAAUAUUGCACAAUGGGCGGAAGCCUGAUGCAGCAACGCCGCGUGCGGGAUGACGGCCUUCGCGUUGUAAACCGCUUUCGCCUGUGACGAAGCGUGAGUGACGGUAAUGGGUAAAGAAGCACCGGCUAACUACGUG
rnacentral:rRNA from 1 species